CCUACGGGUGGCAGCAGUGGGGAAUAUUGCACAAUGGGGGCAACCCUGAUGCAGCGACGCCGCGUGAGUGAAGAAGUAUCUCGGUACGUAAAGCUCUAUCAGCAGGAAAGAAAAUGACGGUACCUGACUAAGACGCCGAGGAUAACUACGUGCCAGGAGCCGCGGUAAUACGUAGGGGGCAAGCGUGAUCCGGAUUUACUGGGGGUAAAGGGGGCGUAGACGGCGCGGCAAGUCCGGAGUGAAAGCAGAUGGCUUAACCAUCGUAGUGCUCUGGAAACUGUAUAGCUUGAGUGCGGGAGGGGGAGGCGGAAUUCCUGGUGUAGCGGUGAAAUGCGUAGAUAUUAGGAGGAACACCGGCGGCGAAGGCGGCCUGCUGGAGCGUAACUGACGUUGAGGCUCGAAAGCGUGGGGAGCAAACAGGAUUAGAUACCCGAGUAGUC
rnacentral:rRNA from 1 species